GUUAAGCGACUAAGCGUACACGGUGGAUGCCCUGGCAGUCAGAGGCGAUGAAGGACGUGCUAAUCUGCGAUAAGCGUCGGUAAGGUGAUAUGAACCGUUAUAACCGGCGAUUUCCGAAUGGGGAAACCCAGUGUGAUUCGUCACACUAUCAUUAACUGAAUCCAUAGGUUAAUGAGGCGAACCGGGGGAACUGAAACAUCUAAGUACCCCGAGGAAAAGAAAUCAACCGAGAUUCCCCCAGUAGCGGCGAGCGAACGGGGAGCAGCCCAGAGCCUGAAUCAGUGUGUGUGUUAGUGGAAGCGUCUGGAAAGGCGUGCGAUACAGGGUGACAGCCCCGUACACAAAAAUGCACAUACUGUGAGCUCGAUGAGUAGGGCGGGACACGUGGUAUCCUGUCUGAAUAUGGGGGGACCAUCCUCCAAGGCUAAAUACUCCUGACUGACCGAUAGUGAACCAGUACCGUGAGGGAAAGGCGAAAAGAACCCCGGCGAGGGGAGUGAAAAAGAACCUGAAACCGUGUACGUACAAGCAGUGGGAGCACGCUUAGGCGUGUGACUGCGUACCUUUUGUAUAAUGGGUCAGCGACUUAUAUUCUGUAGCAAGGUUAACCGAAUAGGGGAGCCGAAGGGAAACCGAGUCUUAACUGGGCGUUAAGUUGCAGGGUAUAGACCCGAAACCCGGUGAUCUAGCCAUGGGCAGGUUGAAGGUUGGGUAACACUAACUGGAGGACCGAACCGACUAAUGUUGAAAAAUUAGCGGAUGACUUGUGGCUGGGGGUGAAAGGCCAAUCAAACCGGGAGAUAGCUGGUUCUCCCCGAAAGCUAUUUAGGUAGCGCCUCGUGAAUUCAUCUCCGGGGGUAGAGCACUGUUUCGGCAAGGGGGUCAUCCCGACUUACCAACCCGAUGCAAACUGCGAAUACCGGAGAAUGUUAUC
rnacentral:rRNA from 1 species